rnacentral:rRNA from 1 species
AUGGUAGGAUAGAGGCCUACCAUGGUGGUAACGGGUAACGGGGUGUUAGGGCACGACACCGGAGAGGGAGCCUGAGAAACGGCUACCACAUCCAAGGAUGGCAGCAGGCGCGCAAAUUACCCAAUCCCGACACGGGGAGGUAGUGACAAUAAAUAACAAUACGGGGUUCUUUAGGAUCUCGUAAUUGGAAUGAGUACAAUUUAAAUCUCUUAACGAGGAACAAUUGGAGGGCAAGUCUGGUGCCAGCAGCCGCGGUAAUUCCAGCUCCAAUAGCGUAUAUUAAAGUUGUUGCAGUUAAAAAGCUCGUAGUUGAAUUUCGGGGUUAGUAGGUUGGUCAUGCCUCUGGUAUGUACUGGUCUCACUGAUUCCUCCUUCCUUAUGAACCGUAAUGCCAUUAAUUUGGUGUUGCGGGGAAUUUGGACUGUUACUUUGAAAAAAUUAGAGUGUUUAAAGCAAGCUAACGCUUGAAUACAUUAGCAUGGAAUAAUGAAAUAGGACGUUCGAUCUUAUUUUGUUGGUUUCUAGGAUUGACGUAAUGAUUAAUAGGGAUAGUUGGGGGCAUUAGUAUUCAAUUGUCAGAGGUGAAAUUCUUGGAUUUAUUGAAGACUAACUACUGCGAAAGCAUUUGCCAAGGAUGUUUUCAUUAAUCAAGAACGAAAGUUAGGGGAUCGAAGACGAUCAGAUACCGUCGUAGUCUUAACCAUAAACUAUGCCGACUAGGGAUCGGAUGA